rnacentral:sRNA from 1 species
UAGCGCAGAGUGUCGUGCUGGAUGAGAACCUGUGCAGGUUCGACAAAAUUGCCCCGCCAAUUUUGAACAGCGCUUGCGCUGCCCGAAGGGUGAGGCCAAAGGCCGAGUUAAUCCCGCACGACCCACCA